UACAGAGGGGGCAAGCGUUGUUCGGAAUUACUGGGCGUAAAGGGCGCGUAGGCGGCCUGUUAAGUCGAACGUGAAAUCCCCGGGCUCAACCCGGGAACUGCGUCCGAUACUGGCAGGCUUGAAUCCGGGAGAGGGAUGUGGAAUUCCAGGUGUAGCGGUGAAAUGCGUAGAUAUCUGGAGGAACACCGGUGGCGAAGGCGGCAUCCUGGACCGAUAUUGACACUGAGGAGCGAAAGCCAGGGGAGCAAACGGG
rnacentral:rRNA from 1 species